rnacentral:rRNA from 1 species
GACGAACGCUGGCGGCGUGCCUAAUACAUGCAAGUAGAACGCUGAAGGAGGAGCUUGCUUCUCUGGAUGAGUUGCGAACGGGUGAGUAACGCGUAGGUAACCUGCCUGGUAGCGGGGGAUAACUAUUGGAAACGAUAGCUAAUACCGCAUGAUAGUAGAUGUUGCAUGACAUUUGCUUAAAAGGUGCAAUUGCAUCACUACCAGAUGGACCUGCGUUGUAUUAGCUAGUUGGUGGGGUAACGGCGCACCAAGGCGACGAUACAUAGCCGACCUGAGAGGGGGAUCGGCCACACUGGGACUGAGACACGGCCCAGACUCCUACGGGAGGCAGCAGUAGGGAAUCUUCGGCAAUGGACGGAAGUCUGACCGAGCAACGCCGCGUGAGUGAAGAAGGUUUUCGGAUCGUAAAGCUCUGUUGUAAGAGAAGAACGAGUGUGAGAGUGGAAAGUUCACACUGUGACGGUAUCUUACCAGAAAGGGACGGCUAACUACGUG